UGAGCAAUCUGCCCUUCUCUUCGGAAUAAGCGUUGGAAACGAUGUCUAAUGCCGAAUACGACCUCCUUUCGCAUGAUCGGAGGUGGAAAGCUCUGGCGGAGAAGGAUGAGCUCGCGGCCUAUCAGCUUGUUGGUGAGGUAACGGCUCACCAAGGCUACGACGGGUAGCUGGUCUGAGAGGGCGACCGGCCACACUGGGACUGAGAUACGGCCCAGACCUGUACGGGA
rnacentral:rRNA from 1 species